AUCUCACGGCUGGCGAAUGCCACAUGACAGUAGCAGUAAUGCAUGGAUUUGAAAAUUAAAUGAAAGGGGUUUCAGGAGAAAUCCAAAAUAAGCUCAAGAAAAAUUAGAAAGGUUUGCUGUCCUUAUAAGCCAGUCUACUGCCCACAUGUGUGGGCAAGUACCACCACGUCUCUGAAUUCCAGGACUUUGACUCAGGCAUCAUACUUCCUGGUAGACACAGAUAACAGCUAGAUCCAGAGCGAAGGCUUACUGGAGCUGGCUGGCUUUGCUGAAUUGUGACCUAAUGCAGGAUAUCUAAUAAGAAAAGGAGGCAGCAGACAUCGAGGAGUCUGCAGCUGUUCUGGAAACUGCAGUUUGAAGACAACUUCAGAGAGUCUGUCUUCUUAUUCAUGCACAUACACUCUGUGAAUGUAAGCAGGGAGACUGACUCCCUGUUGUUAUAGCAACUGUGUCCACACACCCCAGCAUCUUUAAAAAGAAGUACUUCUGUCAGCAGGUGUCAAGUUGCCAGAAGCCAGCAGGUUUGGACACAAAUAGCAAAGAGCUUAAGAAGGUAACAAUUGCUAAAAGUAAGCAGCUUUUGGCCACACAAUCAUCGAUAGAAAUAGCCAAAGGUGAAGUGGCUCCGGCCAUGACUCCUUCACCGCCUUCCUGACUCCAUGCUCCUUCACUGCCUUCCUGGUGAACUGGGUGCUGAGGUAAGCCCCUGACAUAGAAGAAGAGGUCAGACACAGCUUGAAUUUCAGACGGAAGCUGAGGCUUCGCCAGCAGCUGCGUGUCCUGCACAGCGUGAGCUGCUAGAAAGCUCCAGAGGCUUCGCCAGCAGCUGCGUGUGCUGCACACCGAGAGCUGCUAGAAAGCUCCAGAUGAAAGCCUGGAUUCGCAAAGGAGCUAGAAGAACAUGGAGCAUGUGUGAUAUUUUAAUAAACAUUUUACAAUCUCU